rnacentral:lncRNA from 1 species
GGCAUUUGUCAAUGGGUUGCUGAGGUCACGUGAACAUGCCUGGAUCGGUUUGACUAACAGGAUGACCGAGGAGUGGAAGCUGGAGUGGGAGUGGGUGGACGGGACCCCAGUCACUACUAAGUUUUGGGAGCCCAGCAAAUACAACUUGUUCAGAAGUUCGGUACUGUACUGUGGAGAACUUGUACAAACCUCAUCAAACGGAAAGUGGAAUGAUGAGUUCUGUUUUUCUCCUAACGUCUGGAUCUGUGAGAAAAAUAAGAUGAACAAGCUUUAAACUACUGAUGUGACAAUGAGUGGCUUGAAAAUGCAGGUCUAAUAUUGAACUGUGAUGGUUAAAAAAAAAAAAAACAACUGUGAUUUUGUGGAAAUAAAAAACAGUAACAGAUGCUUUAAUGGGAAAAAAUGGAUGUAUGUGAAGGGGACAGGGAUGGAAUGCAUAAAUAAAGAGAAGGACUGCUGCAAAUAAUCAAUAAUCGAUGGUAAAUCACAAUAAUAAACAUUUAUGAGUGACUCUAGCUGUUGUAUUUUUGCACCACUUUACUCCUGAACAUCAAUUACAGUUUUUUUUACUACAAUUAUUUUUGGGCUUUUGUUUAUCACCAGUGAUUUUGUGUUUUUCUUCAUAACAAAUCCAAUAAAAAGAUAAGAACAAACACAUCUCAAAAUUGCUGACAGACAGAUCAUGCAUCAUGUGUUGCUGCUUCCAAUAUUAUCCACAAACUAUUAAAUCAGAAUACUUUAUAAAAGUCAGCAGAAAUUGUUGCAUGUUACAGUUACUCAAGUACAAGUAUAACAUAACGCCACAGCAAAGAAAGUAUCAAUUUAAAAAAAUUUGCUGAAUUUUUUUUAGACCACCCCUUGUUUUCUUCAAUUUCUUGUUCAUGUUAAUGCCUGGUACAACUAAAGGUACAUUUGUUUGGACAAAUAUAAUGAUAACUAGAAGCACUCGGAGAGCGCAGACCUCCACCAAGGCUGAUCAGUGGCCCCCCCUGUGGGCCCCCCCACCCCCCAUCACCACCAAAAUUUAAUCAUUUCUUUCUUAUCCUAUUUCCAACAAACCCUGAAAAUUUCAUCCAAAUCUGUCCAUAACUUUUUGAGUUAUGUUGCACACUAACGGACAGACAAACAAACAAACAAACAAACAAACAGACAAACAAACAAACCCUGGCAAAAACAUAACCUCCUUGGCGGAGGUAACAACAAAAACAGCUCAUAAGACUGUAAUUUCAGAGCUGAUAUCUAUCUAUUUUCCUUGUUUUUCUUGAUAAUGAGUGAGUACUUGACUGCAUAACCAUGGUUUUUGAUGACUUUUGAUGGUUUAUUUUUUGAUGGUCUAAUUUUUUCCACGACUGUAUAUAUACCAAAUACACAUAUAAUAAAAACACAGUUGUACAAUGUACUUCAAAAAUAUUAUCAAUAUGACGAGUAAAAUAAAUAUGAAUAAAUGAUCAGAAA